rnacentral:tRNA from 1 species
GGGGUUAUGGCUCAGUGGUCCAGCACGUGCUUGGCGUGCACGAGGUCCUAGGUUCAAUCUCCAGUGCCUCUA